rnacentral:lncRNA from 1 species
GUUGCACAAGUCUUGAAUACUUGCAACACACUUCAUGACUCUACAGCCUCCUUCUCUUCUUGCACACACGCCUUGAUCAUCUUUUCAUUGUCUUGGCCGUGUGAUCACUCUCUUGAGGCUUGUUCAUGGCUUGGAUAGCUUCUUCUUCUUUAGUUUGGCAUGGAGAUGCUUGGCCUUCACUUCCUUUGUUUGGCCUUCACAUCUCCUUGUCUUGCUUCACUUUAAUACCCUCCCUCAAGGUUGGGCUGCGGAAGCCAUUGGUUCCAAAGGCCAAGCUUGCAACACGCAAAUGACUACCUCAUUAAAAACCUCACCAUGUAAAACCACUUGGGAUAAAACCAUGAUGAGGACAAAAAGAGUAUAGCCUUCACGGUGCAUUGGAUAGCUAUGACCUUGGCUGUAUUUGAAUUGAGCUUGAAGCUUCUUUGAUCUAUGAUCUGAAUGCGGCUUGAACUUGUCUUUGAACCGCCAAAAGGACUCAUUGAUUGAGCCAUGAUCUGAACUGAUUGCUUAGGGUGUUGACGCCAUGAUUUGAACUUUGCAACACCUCUUUCUUCUUGAUGCUUCACAUGAAGCUUACUGACCCUUAGCUAACAUCUUGCUGGUGAGUUGAUUCAUCACUUUCCUGCAGCCACUUCUCCUCAAGAUCUUCUUGUCUUGGGUCCAUGAAUCUGAGGCCAUUGGUUCUAACCCCCAAAGCUUGCUUCUGAUGCUGCUCUAGAUCAACCAAACUUGUAUUGUCUUUCUGAGACAACCAAGCACAAACACCAAUCACCAUUCUUAAACUUAGAACCUGUUAAGUAUGGACAGAUUCAAAGCACAAAAUUAUUGAGUGAUGGAGAGAAUAAAGUAACCAGAGAAUAAGUAACCAGAGUAUUUAAGAAUAAGUAACAGAAGUAUGAGAGAAUAUUAGAGAAUAAUGGAGAGUAAGAGUAUGGUGGAGAGUGAGAGUUUUGCGGAAGCAGAUUGCAGUCCAUGGCCUUCAAGCUUCAUGGCUGAUCACAAUGCUGGUGAGGCAUGAACAUCCCACCAGUUAACACAUUUUUAAAGCAUUUUCGAAAUCAGAUUACUCAAGAAUCUGUUCAAAACAUUUUUCAGAUUUUUAAAUCCUUUCAAAGAGCUUUUCUUAAAAUCUGAAAUUCAAAUGCUCUUACAAAUCAAUUUUCUUCAAAUCAUCAUCAAUCUUUCUCCCUCCCUCAAGCAUUGGUUUCAUUAGACUUAAAGUCUUUUACCAAGUUUGAAAAAUAUUAAGAGACAAAGGGUAGAAAAGGAUGAUAAUGUUUGAGACAAAACCAGCAAGAACUUCAUCUUUUAAAACUUUUUUUAAAGUACAAAACAGAUGAAGUCUUUUGUUUCAUUUCCCUCCCUUAGCCUUGGAUUCGGAUCCCAACUCAAGAUCAGAACCACAGCUUACACAUGGGGGAGAAGAAACCAAAACAGAACUCCAUCUUGUCUUCUUUAAAGAAAUCAUUAGACAAGAUGAAGAACACAAAAUAUUUUUGAAAACAAAUUUUUUUUUUUUCAAGAGUUCUUCAAGAUACAAGUUUAAUCUUUUCUCCCUCCCUCAAGCUGACAUGAACAGAUUUUAAUCUUUCAUCCAAAGGCUUAAAC